GGUAAGAUAGGGUAGAAGGGAAGGUGAAUACAAUCAGAGCAUCGUAUAUGCGUGUGUGCAAUCAUCAGAGUAAAACCCAUUAUAUAGUACAAUUAAGAUGAAUUGAUAAUUAUAAUGAAAGAAAGGAAUCCUAUAAAAUUCAAAAACAAAUAUUUAUAAAACAAAAUGUAUCCCCAACUGGAUUCAUUCUGUCCAGAUCUUGAUUAGGCCCACUGAGCUCAGAAGAGAGGAUUUCAAACCAAGCAAGGACAUUUGUGUGGCUGGCUUCCUUCUAUGGCACCUCUCUUGCCUUCUACCCAGUCUUUAUUCCUUAAUUAUGGUUCUUUCACUUUCUUUUCUUAAAAAGUGGCCCUUUUAUGGCUGAGACUUUCAUGUCAAACUCCUGUAAGUUCUGUUUUUGGAACUCAGUUGGAUUUAAGGCAUGUACAAUAACCUGUGUCCCUAAAUUCAACUGCCUGCAGUGAGACAGGACCUUAGUGAGAAACACAAAACGGUGACCUCUGGACUUCCCCUAAUCCACUCUGUGGCUGCCUUAACCACACAGAGGCUCACAUCAGUUUUAUGUCCCAAAGCCUGGAAUUCUGCAGAAAUUUCUCAUACAUAUUGACCACCACUGUCCUGUGGCUACAUGUGGUACCUGCUACUUUCUCCCUCACCUGCUUCUGCUUAUAGGGCUGAGGUCUCCAUUGCUACUGACACCAAAGUAGCUGUGUGAAGGCAUUACCUUCCUGCCUGCAUCCUCUGCUGCCUUUGCCAAACCUGCAUUUGCCGAGGGUCAAGGGUGUUGAUGUUGGCCUGGCUUCUGAGGUCAGCUGAUGCUAUUAUUCACUGCUUUCUGAAGUCUAGGAAUGUUUUAGUACAAACUAUUUUAGUUUAUACUUACUUGUCUAUUCCAACACCCUCACCUUGGGAUUCAAGUACACAGCCCAGGGGACUAGACCAGAAGACAUCAGAGUGACAGACACUAUGCCAAUCUUCAAGUGCCACCAGGACCACCCUGCCCUUCACCCUGAUCCUGGGCCAUCACAAUUGAACCUAGUGCCUCCACUUUCUCCUCCUGUGGAGUGAGUCCGUCCUACAAGGCUCCAUCACUCAGGUGGAACCACGGCAGGUCUGCCCCAUCCUGGCAUCCCCAGACUUCAGUGCACACUGUAAUGGGGAGGAGGAAAGAGGUACAGUAGCCUCAGCUUGGGCUCCACAUACAAAGGAAUGAAUGAAUAAUUGAACAAGCUCCUGAACAAAAGAGGUCCAGAGAAAUAGGUGAAGAAGGAAAAAGAAAGGGAGGAAAUUUUUUAAAAAGGAAAUAUUUUAGAAAGCAGAUCUUAAUUCAAGUCAUAUUCCUUCCCCCCUCAUUUAAUCAUGGUGGGACAGGGAGGGCUGAGGAAGAAGUUAAAGGAGAUUUUGUCACUUGGGUACAAGUAUCAUAGCUAAGUGAUGGGGAUGAGCAAACUAGAGGGCUAAAGGUCUUGGGGUGAGUAAGGGUGCAUUGCUCACUCCUGGCUCUCAGGAAAUGAGAGGCUCCUGGGGAAGCCUGGCAGACAGAGGCGGGAUGUCAGCAGGAUACCUUCUCUCUCCAGCAAAGAGCUUGACAUUUGUGCUUCCCCAGAACAUCAAACUACCAUUACUUUUUAAAAAGCUUAAUUUCAUAUAUGCUGCUUGGAAGCUAUGCAACUUCCUGUAAUACACAUUUUAGAUAUUCGAGCAGUAAAUUUGAGAUGCCAGAGCCUCUCUUUAACACUGCUCUGUAGCUCAGCAACUCCAAAUUAGCGCAGCUCCAUGUCCAAAACCUGGCAAAGGUCAGAGAAGAACAGAAGCCCACUCUUGGUGAGUCCACAGUGGUCCCCUUGUUACCGAGGAUGGAAAGGACUGGAAAGGAGAAAUCUCACAGGCUCUUGUCCCUUUGACCUUUGUGCUAGGUUGGCCAAGAUCUCAGGCUUUCUCACCUGUGGUUGGGUUAAAUAUGUGGGAGCACAGAGGCUCCCCAACCCCUGGGGCUGCAGCAUCAGCAUGCACAGUGCACCUGAACAGCAGGUGAGCCUGAGCCUGUCUGGAGUCACCUGCCCCAUCUGGCCUCUGCCUGGCUCAGAUAGUUAGGGGAGGGGUGGGCUGCAGGCCCUACCUCACCUCUCCUCCACCUGCCCUUUGCUUCUUCUAGAGUUGCAUUUGCUCAUAUUGUGGGAUCAUUUGCUCGCUUCAUCCUGCUUCCUUUAGUAAUGGGCAGACAACAGCAACAGAGUAUUAGGUUGCAUUUGGAAGC
rnacentral:lncRNA from 1 species